GCUAGGAUGCGAAGUAGGAUAAGCUGGAAGUCCCGGAGAAGCAAUGAAAUGUGAUGAUACUGGGCCGAACAUCAAAGGUGAAAACAGGUAUCCCUGAAGCAUCGACGUUUAACUAGGAAGGUUUUGGUAGCAAAAAGGAUUAGAGACCCUAGUAGUCUUAACUGCGGAGAGAUGACACCCUGUAGACCCAUGCAGGCGUGUUGUAUGCCUGAAAAGUACGACCGCAAGGUUGAAACUCAAAAGAUUUGACGGGGCGAGAGACCUGCCGCGGCGCGUGUAAAUUAAUUUGUAGGUACCCUAUCAAACUUACCAUUCCAAAUAAUAUUUGCUACAACUCCAGCUUACACUGGAAUGUUAAAACGGCCUACACGGACAUUCAAAAUGACGGAGUAGGUGAGAAUCGGUACUGCAUGGCUGUGACAAGCGGAUCCCGCAAGGGUAAGAACUUGAAUUUGCAUAACUCUCGGUAUCUCCGUUCGGAAUUUGCAUCAGACUCCCGGGGCCCUUAACUAGCUCCCUGCUUUAGCAUCAGAGAGCAGUGGUGAAGUUGGAACCUCUAUUGUGAGGUAGAGCGUUUUGGUUGGGCUUCUCAAGAGAUCUUGAACUUGAUUCUCUUACCAAAUGGGUUCUCGCUACAGGAGUUUGUUCUCAAGAAGAGAUAAGAACCGUGAACUAAGGCAAGCACUCAUGGUCCAUUAUGGAAUGGGCUUUCUACGCGCGACAAACUGAGAAACAAUACUAAACUCUUAGACGUACGGAAGGUACCCUGAAAUUGGGGACUGGAAGGUGGAGUGGCAAGUAAUCGUGUUUCAGAAUAGCACGGUGAAUCAGAACCUCUCGUUUGUACAAACUGCUCGUCAGGGUCUGGGAGAUCUAACAUUGUAAAUCCUAAUUUCUCUGGAGAUAGAGAAGCCAUAGGAUCAGAGUGUGAAGUUGACUGGAUUUAAGUCGAAACAAGGUCACGGUAGGGGAACCUGUCGUGGAACUUCGUGGAUU
rnacentral:rRNA from 1 species